rnacentral:tRNA from 1 species
GUCAGGAUGACUGAAUCGUCUAAGGCGCCAGACCCGACAUGAGGUGUUGAGUAUUCUGGUCUCCGAAUGGAGGCGUGGGUUCGAACCCCACUUCUGACA